GUGCUCACUUUGGUACUGCAUGUACUAAAAUUGGAAUGAUACAGACAUUAGCAUGGCCCCUGUGCAAAGAUGA
rnacentral:snRNA from 1 species